rnacentral:rRNA from 1 species
GAUGAACGCUGGCGGCGUGCCUAAUACAUGCAAGUCGAGCGAACGGACGAGAAGCUUGCUUCUCUGAUGUUAGCGGCGGACGGGCGAGUAACACGUGGAUAACCUACCUAUAAGACUGGGAUAACUUCGGGAAACCGGAGCUAAUACCGGAUAAUAUUUUGAACCGCAUGGUUCAAAAGUGAAAGACGGUCUUGCUGUCACUUAUAGAUGGAUCCGCGCUGCACUAGCUAGUUGGUAAGGUAACGGCUUACCAAGGCAACGAUGCAUAGCCGACCUGAGAGGGUGAUCGGCCACACUGGAACUGAGACACGGUCCAGACUCCUACGGGAGGCAGCAGUAGGGAAUCUUCCGCAAUGGGCGAAAGCCUGACGGAGCAACGCCGCGUGAGUGAUGAAGGUCUUCGGAUCGUGAAACUCUGUUAUUAGGGAAGAACAUAUGUGUAAGUAACUGUGCACAUCUUGACGGUACCUAAUCAGAAAGCCACGGCUAACUACGUG